ACUCCUUUUAUGGUUUCCAUUGGCAUACACUUAGACACCUUAACCCAAACUUUCGGUUCAUCCCGCAUCGCCAGUUCUGCUUACCAAAAACGGCCCACUUGAAACUUUUACAUUCAUAUGUAUGCUUUAUUCAAUCAAGAAAUAAACAUACCUAUAUCACCAGUUUGCAGUUUGAGAAUAGGUCGAGGUCAUAAAUAACCCCAAUACCUCUAAUCAUUAGCUCUACCUGAUGAAACUGUACAAAACAAGUUUCAGCGAUCCUGAGGGAUAUUUCGGAGGGAACCAGCUACUAGAUGGUUCGAUUAGUCUUUCGCCCCUAUACCCACUUUCAACGAUCGAUUUGCACGUCAGAAUCGCUACUAGCCUCCACCUAUUUUUCAAUAGGCUUCACUAUAAGCAGGCAUAGAUCACCAUCUUUCGGGUACUAUCAAACACGGACCAAGGAGGCUAACAUGCACGCAAGUCGAGGAGUGGAGAAACUCUAAGGCACAACGAAAGUAAAAUGUGAGAUCUAUAGAAGAAAUUGCUAUAGCGCAUCACAGGCCAAUCUGAAAUUUGACUAGGAUUGAGUUGGAGCGUGUUUGAUAGUACCCGAAAGAUGGUGAUCUAUGCCUGCUUAUAGUGAAGCCUAUUGAAAAAUAGGUGGAGGCUAGUAGCGAUUCUGACGUGCAAAUCGAUCGUUGAAAGUGGGUAUAGGGGCGAAAGACUAAUCGAACCAUCUAGUAGCUGGUUCCCUCCGAAAUAUCCCUCAGGAUCGCUGAAACUUGUUUUGUACAGUUUCAUCAGGUAGAGCUAAUGAUUAGAGGUAUUGGGGUUAUUUAUGACCUCGACCUAUUCUCAAACUGCAAACUGGUGAUAUAGGUAUGUUUAUUUCUUGAUUGAAUAAAGCAUACAUAUGAAUGUAAAAGUUUCAAGUGGGCCGUUUUUGGUAAGCAGAACUGGCGAUGCGGGAUGAACCGAAAGUUUGGGUUAAGGUGUCUAAGUGUAUGCCAAUGGAAACCAUAAAAGGAGUUAACAGAUAAAGACAGCAUGGCUAUGUCCCUGAAAGUAGGAAUUGGCUAAGAAGUGAGUAAAACCUUACAUGCCGAAUCUGUUAGCCCUGAAAAUGAAUGACGCUAUAGCGUACCACCGAUACCCAACCAUAUUUGAUAGAAAAAAUAUGGGUAGGAGGGUGUAAUGAUUGUGAAGAAGGAUAAAGGUGACUUUAUCUGGAACAGUCAUUAGUACAGAUCUUGGUUUUAGUAGCAGCUUAUAGAAGUGAGAACCUUCUAGGCCGAAGUGGAGAAAGGUUCCGCGUGAACAGCAAUUGGACGCGGGUUAGUCGGUCCUAAGCAGAAGUUUACAAACUGUAAUAAUAGAAAACGUAAUAUAACUAGUUGACAUUGUUAACAUUAUAUCGUUUUAGUCUGCAAAAGGGAAUCAGGUUAAUAUUCCUGAACCAGGACAUGUAUAAUUAUAAAUAUAAAGUGUAAAAACUUUAGAUUUGUAAAGAAGCGGUAACGCAAACAAACUUGGAGAUGUUAUCAGUAACUCUGGGAAGAGUUAUCUUUUCUGUUUAACCAAAUAACUACCAUGGAGUAGAGUCAUUCGGAGAUAUGGUAAUAAUUUGGGAAGAACGUCGCAUUUCUGUGGCGUCUGGAAUGUUACUGAUGAUCCAUGAAAAUCCAAGGGAGUGAAUUAUUAUCAUGCCUGGCCGUACUGAGAUCCGCAUCAGGUCUCCAAGGUGAAUAGCCUCUGGCUCUAGAACAAUGUGGGUAAGGGAAGUCGGCAAAAUAGAUUCGUAACUUUGGGAAAAGGAUUGGCUCUAAGGAUUGGGUUAAUUGGAUUGUAAAUUUUAUUAAUAUUUGUAAUUUAUUAACGAAUAGAAUAUAGUGUGCCAUGUUUUUGCAUGUGAAUGCAUAUUUUACUUGUUAGUGAUUAUAUUUAUAUAUAAAGAAUACAAUUUGUAAUAGUAUAUAAAUGCAUUUAUUUGUGUUUAUAUAUAUAUUACCAUGCAGUUAUCUAAAAUCAAUCAACUUAGAACUGUAACUGACUAGGGGAAUCCGACUGUUUAAUUAAAACAAAGCAUUGCGAUGGCUGGAAACGGUGUUGACGCAAUGUGAAUUCUGCCCAGUGCUCUGAAUGUCAAAGUGUGGAAACACAACCAAGCGCGAGUAAACGGCGGGUGUAACUAUGACUCUCUUAAGAUAGCCAAAUGCCUCGUCAUCUAAUUAGUGACGCGCAUGAAUGGAUCAACGAGAUUCCCACUGUCCCUACCUACGAUCUAGCGAACAAACAGUCAAGGGAA
rnacentral:rRNA from 1 species